UAUCGAUAGCGUAAAAGUUAGCUCAUAUUUGUGUAUGGAAUGGGAUCGUUUGCCUAUGUUUGCCGCUAGGGGCGCUGUUCCAACUGCAUACAAAAUUGGGCUAACUUUUACGCUAUCGA
rnacentral:pre_miRNA from 9 species